UACGUAGGGGGCAAGCGUUGUCCGGAAUUAUUGGGCGUAAAGCGCGUGUAGGCGGUCCGGUAAGUCGGCUGUGAAAGUCCAGGGCUCAACCCUGGGAUGCCGGUCGAUACUGCAGGACUAGAGUUCGGAAGAGGCGAGUGGAAUUCCCGGUGUAGCGGUGAAAUGCGCAGAGAUCGGGAGGAACAUCAAUGGCGAAGGCAGCUUGCUGGGACGUAACUGACGCUGAGACGCGAAAGCGUGGGGAGCAAAUAGG
rnacentral:rRNA from 1 species